UGAGUUAUUAUUUAAUUCUGGUUGUGGAAGGGAUAUUAAGGAGUGCUUAUAUAGGAAUUGUUUGUUUUUUGGGGGAUUAGUUUUUUCUUGGAUUCUUAGUAGUUAGUUCUUGGUUUUUGAAGUGAUUCAGAUUGGGCUUCUUGUUUAUUUGGAGUGGUUUAUUCACAGUGCCAGCAUCCGCGGUUAUUCUGUUAGCUUCUCUCUUCUUUCUGAUAAGGUUGGUUUAAAUGAUUUUAGAGUUACUUGGUAAUUUUAGGUAUAAUUUUAUUGCUUUGGAUAUUAUCUUUUAAGUUGUUGUGGUUCGUUUGUGUGAGAUUAGGAUUAGAUACCCUUGUAUUGAGCGUUGAAAUAUUUUCCUUAGUAUAAACUAAAAGGGUUUGGCAGCUGAUGAGGUUCUUCCGGGGGAACGUGUAGUGUAAGAGAUGAUCCGCUUAUGAUUUUGCCUUAUUUUUGUUAGUGUAUAUCCGGUUUUAUAUUCAUAGUUGUGCUAUAGGGUGUAACUUGUUAGUUUAAGCCAGGUCGAUGUGCUGCUUAUAAUAAGGGGUUUUAUGCGUUACUUUUUUAAAUGAGGCGUUUUGAAAGUUAGAAGUUUGGAUUUAGGACUCGGAAGUAGGUAGUAGUUUAGUUAGCUUUGUCGAAGGGGAUUUAGUUGGGGUACACACCGCCCGUCACCCGGGGUGAUAACUGUGGUAAGUCGUAACAUGGUAGUGCUGGGGGAACCGAGCGCUAGUUGGCUUUUUGUUUAUUUUUUUGGCUGUGU
rnacentral:rRNA from 1 species